UUUUUUAUUUUUAUUUAUUUAUUUAUUUCUUCUUUUGAGGGCCACACCUGCAGCAUAUGGAGCUUCCCAGGCUAGGAGUCUGAUCCAAGCUACAGAUGCCAGCCUAUGCCACAGCCACAGCAACGCCAGAUCCCAGCCGCGUCUGUGACCCACACCACAGGUCAUGGCAACACUGGAUCCUUAACCCUCUGAGCGAGGCCAGGGAUCAAACCCACAGCCUCAUGGUUCCUAGUCGGAUUUGUUUCCACUGCACCACUACGGGAACUCCAAUCUCUGACUCUUCUUAAUAGGCUUCCUCUGAUUUGCCUUCACCUUGAGUUCUGGGCUCCUCAGCCCCAGGUCCCUCGAUAUCAUGCCCUCACUCAGGUGGAAGAAUUCCUUUGACCACUACCACCCACAAAGGGCCCCUGGGAAGAAUGUCAACCUAUCAGGGCUGUCACCAUCACCUCCCUACAGUCAGCACCCCAAAGAGGUGGCUGGUGCUCAGUUCGGGAGGAAGGACAGAGAGGAGGCUUUGAGAUGGACCGAAUCACCAGACCCAUGCAAAGCCACCGUGUCGCCUGUUUACUUUGCAUCAAUCCUGGCUCUGGUCCUUCUUCAAAAGCCAUCCUUCAAAGAGCAGGAUGUGGCCCUGGCAAGAAAGGUGACCCCUCCUACCGAGUUCUUGGGAAUAUUAGCUCAUCAGAACCUCCUUGCUCACCGUCAUGAGAUGAACUCGCUCGAAAUGAGCUAAGGGGGAGGAGUGACUGAAUCAGAAGCCCGUCUCACCCUCUCGCUGUUUUUAACACUUCUCCCUCCCUCUGCUGGGAUGGUACAUCUUAGCAAAAAUCAUCUCAGCUGGUUUGCCAGCAGCUUGGCUCUGAGCUUGCUUUCAGCUCUCGGUCCUUCUCCCAUCCUAGCUCUACCAGCUUCCCCAUUCUCCGGGCUGGGCAGUCCUCCCUCCCCCCAUUCCUGUUUGCUAGCUCUUGUCCUGUGGAGCCCACGAAGGGUUAAACAUUCCCAGGACUGGCCAGGCCAGGCCACAGAGAUGCAGGUGCUAAGAGGGAAAGCAUGGGCUGGAAUCUAGAAUCAUCUGUCACCACGCCAGGAGCUCCUCUGGGUGAGGAGUGAUCCCAGAUUUCACUAAAAGUCUCCAGGUGAAAAUUCCAUAAAUCUAGAAAAGGCAAAGCUCAAUGGAAAUUUAAUUAAAUGAGUUAAAUAUGUAGGGUGCUUGAGACAAUCGCUGGUACACGGUGAGCUGUAUAAACACUUGGAAAUGAGUCAGAGUUUGGCGGGAGGGGGGUAGGGGCGGGGCGGGGUAUACAGCUCAGCAUCACAGCAAUCUAUAGAUUCCAGAAUCCUUGCAAAUGGGUCCUUGGCCCCGUAUUUGUGCAUUUUAAGUCACCGGCUCUGUCUGCCACUAGCCCUCAGGUUUUUUUCUCUCCUCCACUUCACAUCCCAAGAAUCUGUGAGUGUGGGUACACAGCUAAAGAGCUCUAUCUUUUGUUCUUACCAUCAUGCCUCACUCUUAAAUCAGGUCCUAUCCCUUGACUUCCCAAAACCUUGCGUUGGUGUGGCUUUCUAUGGUGUCUUUCCUAACGCCUUGGUAGCAAACACAUGGGCUUCAUCAUAAUAACGUCAAGCUGUCAUUAUAGGAACACACUGAAAAGCACACAUAAAGGAAGCUUUCCCCUCCUAAACACAUGGGCCAGGAUUCUGGUUGGGUUUUCAGCAAAGAUCCUCUCUGAAAGUCUCCUGGGGAAAGGGUCAGAGCCGUGGAGGGAGGCAAGACCCUGGUGAUAUGAACUUCAGCGCUGGCUCUGAGCGUGCCCCUUGCUACUGCAGGCUGCCAGCAAAAAAAACCCAAAAACCAAAAAACAAAAAAAAAAACAAAACGCAGAAUUCUUCCCUCCAAAGCCAAUAAUCCUCAGUGUCCUCCAGAAUCAGGACUCAAAGAGAUAGAAGGAAAAAACAGGCAAGAAUGCUUCCUUUCUUCUUAAGGCUUUAAGCAGGAAGCUGGGGGAGGGAGGGGACGUGUCUAAGAAAGCAGGAAACUUCCUUCACCCCGAUGCGCACAGGACCCGCUCUAGAAGCAGACCUCCCAGCUCUGCUAAUUGCUCAAGGAUUAUGGCUGGUCCUGGCCAAGCCGAGUUACAGCUCAGAUUCUGCCCAAGGCCCUCCCGCUCAUCAGGAGAAGGAAGUGACAGACGCCCCUCUCCUGAGACGUGAUGAAAGGUAUGAGUCACAGGAGUGGGAGGGAAAUUGGCUUCAGGGUCAGGGGCCCAGCGCACCAGCAGCUGGAUGGAGCUGAAGGGAAAGGAAGGGGAUCCUGAAAGGGAAAAACACCACUGUCUCCGCUGCCUUCUUUCUAACCCGUUCAGAUAGUUCAGAGAUGUGCCAGACCCAGCGUGGUCACGUCUGAGAACCAAGCAUCACGUCUGAGAACCAAGCAGCCGUCUGCUGAGGGGGACCGAGCAGUUUCUCUGUGCCUCGUGUUGUUCUCCAAGCCGGGUUGACCAAAGGGCAGGGGCGGGUUGCACGGGGGUGGGGUGGGGGGGUGAUGGGACAGGAGCGAUAACUGAUUUCUGUGGCCACGGCAUUUAAUGUCCAAGAGAGAGGAGACCUCGGAAACCACUGAUCUGCAGAGGAGCAGACCAAGGCUCAGAGAGGGCAAGGUGAUUGUCUAAAGACACAUAGCUCCCUAGACGGCUGGCAAGGCUCUCUUUUUUGGCCCCAGGAUGAUAUCUGAGAAUCGCAUGGCAGAGCUGAUGCAGGAAUCCUACCGAGACCAACUCCCGAGUGGGGACACUCACCUCAGAGCAGGUUCCCACCACUCUGUCACCUGUAUUGUAGGCCAGAGGACAGACACAUGGGUGUCUGCCAUAACCAUCUCAUCCACCGCCCUCAUUUUCUUGGUCCAGGUUCGAUUCAGCGCCUGUGAGUCCCAAGCACCUGUACCCCGCCCCCAAUCCUAAGAAAGUCCAAGAAAUCCAAGUGUGAUGGAAAGCUUUCCAUCCAAUGCCAGAGAGCUCAUGAAUUUUUCACUACUUUUUAUCGAAAGAGGAAGGGGUCCAUGGCUGAUGGCUACAGGGUACCACCGACCUCAGGGCCUGGAAAAAACGUACCACAGCAGAAAUGACCUGUGAUCCAUCCAGACAAUGAAAUACUCCUCAGCGCUAUGAAGAAAUGAGCUGUCAAGCCAUGAAAAGACAUGGAAGAAUCUUAAAUGCAUGUUACCAAAUGAAAAAAGCCAAUCUAAAGAAGCUGCACUGUACUGUUGCAACUACAUGACCUUCUGGAAAAGGCAGAGCGAUGGAGACAACAAAAGGAUCAGUGAUUGGCCAGGAGUUGAGGGGAAGAGAAGGAUGAAUAGCCAGAGCCCAGAAGCGUUUCCGGGCAGUGAAACGCUUCUGGGUGACACAAUAAUGGCAGACGCCUGUCAUUACGUAUUUGCCCAAACUCAUAGAAUGUACACGACCCGGAGUGAGGCCUGUUGUAAAUUAUGACCUUGGGUGAUAAGAAUGCAUCAACGGAGGUUCAUCAAUUUUAGCAAAUGUGGGAAAUAUUGCCAGGAACCUGUGCCGGGGGUGUGGGGGUGGUACGCAGGGGUGAGGGGCUAUAGGAAAUCUCUGAUCUUUCCUCUCCAUGUUGCUGUGAACCUAAAAUUUCUCUAAAAAAAUAAAGUCCUAAAAAGGCCACCUAUGGUAGCAGGAAUCCUAUUCAAGUCAACCAGCUUUUCAUGGACUAGCUAAUAUCACCCAAAGAAUUCCUUUCUUCCUGCCAUUGGCCAUUUUCCAUUUUUCGUGAUUUUCUGCUUCCCGUUUCAUUUUGUGGACAUCCAGGGAAAAACAGCAAGAGGCCUCUGAUCCUAGGAGAGCGUACUCAAGAGCAGCGCACACCGGACACGCGUGUUCAAAAUGGGUAUUUUUGAACCUUCCCCCUGGCUCGCUCAUUCACAACCUCUAAGGGCCAGGCCAGGGAAUCUGCAUUUUCACACCUCCCCACCUGAUUACCAUGCAUGCUAAUGUCUGAUAAAAACUGCCUUCUUGGCACCUAGAGCAGAAAAGGCUUCUGGGAGGAGUUAGGGCAGCAGAAUCCCUGUGUGCUCAGUGUAUUUAUAAUGUAAGAUUGAUGGGAAAAGAUAUCUAAAGAACCACAGAUAACAGGUUAACAGCAGGAGGUGUGGAGCCGACCCUUGCCCUUUCAGAACCAUCAUCAGACCCCAAAAUAGGGGUUCACUGCGGCUUUCGCCUCCGAAACCGGGGACUUCUUAAAUGAGGGGUGUCAGGCUCAUUCACGACUGUCUCCCCAGCCUCUCCUGGCCCAGGGCAGAUGCUCAAUAAAUUAGUGCCAAAUAGGUGAAUUAGGCUUAUCUGGGAGAGGGCACAGUAAGGACACGAGCAAAGAUGUUCCUAAUGACUUAUGCAUCCCCUCCCCUUACUUUAAAUGCGCCGCUUUAAAAAAAAAAAAAAAAAGGCGCAGGUCUCCCCAGAGGCCCUACGUCGGACACCCAGGCCGAGAAACUUCGAGGUAGAAUGAAGCCUGGGCACAGCACAUUAGCUGCUAAGGAGAACGUGACCCCAGGGAAUCUUUUUACCUUUUUUUUUUUUAAACUUUUUACCGGGAACAUUGUGUUUCUAGAAGUCCCAGCUCUAGGGAGCCCUGCUUUCUUGGGGGGUGGGGCAGGUGCGAGCAUUGCCCAGUUUCCUGGAUACCAAGACGGAGCAGCUAAACACACGCCAAGGUCUCUGGCCGAAGAAUGUGGAGGAAAAUAUGCCUGGUGGGGCUGAGCUGGGGGAGGCUGUGGGGACUGGCACCCCGGGGGGAUGGCAGGAGUGGAGCAAGGUGGGGGGGGUGCCGAGAUCUGCUGCCCCCCAUCCUCUACCCCUCCAAACUGCCAAGUGGCCUGAGUGCCAUCCUCUACGAUAAAGUUUCUGUGACUUUUUCCUUCUCUUGGAAAUCCAAAAUGCCCCUGGAAUUGUUGUAAUGGGAUUUGUGCCAGGAUGUAGGUUACUUUCGUGUGGCUUUGAGUUUGUGGGGGCUGUUGUAACAAGGUACUGGGAACUAAGUGGCUUCGACAGCAGGAGUGUAUCAUCUCAGAGUCCUGGAGGCUGGAAGUCUAAAAUUAAGGUGUGGGCAGGGUUGGUUCCUUCUGAGGCUGGAGGAACGAACUGUUCCAGGCUCUCUCCUUGGCCUGCAGAUGGCCAUCUUCUCCCUGCAUCACUCCACAUCCUCGUCCCUUGGUGUCUGUCCCUCUGUCCCAAUGUCCCCCUUUUAUUGGGACACUGGUCACACUGGAUUAGCACCUCCGCCCAGUGACCUCCAUCAAGACCUCAUUUCCCAACCAGCUCCCAUUCUGAGGUUCUGGGGGUUACGUCGGACUCUGAUUUGGGGAAACAGAGUUCAACCCUUAGCCACCCAUCUCCUUCCUCUGAGACAGAAGCAGGACAGAAAGAGGCUUGAGGAGAAAGGAAUCCUGAAGGUCAGAAAGGUCACCCUGGGAAGGUCAGCAGCCCUGGGGCGGGGGAGAGGGAGACGCACUCAGCAUUCUGCCCGCUGUUGGGCUCAGUGCCUGGAGGUCCUUGAACCGCCUUCAUUCUGCUGUGGCGUUUGGAGCCGCCACUUUUGCCCACUGUGUUUGACCCUCAAGGGACGGGCAAGCUGGACGCCCCCUCCCCCUGCAAAAAGUGACCACAGAAUUUUGAGGUCC
rnacentral:lncRNA from 1 species